UACGGAGGGUGCAAGCGUUGUCCGGAUUUAUUGGGUUUAAAGGGUGCGUAGGCGGCCCUGUAAGUCAGUGGUGAAAUACUGCAGCUUAACUGUAGCAUUGCCAUUGAUACUGUAGGGCUUGAGUACAGAUGAGGUAGGCGGAAUUGAUGGUGUAGCGGUGAAAUGCAUAGAUACCAUCAAGAACACCGAUUGCGAAGGCAGCUU
rnacentral:rRNA from 1 species